rnacentral:lncRNA from 1 species
CUUGUCUUCCUUCUCUCCAUUUACAGCAUCAUUCAUACUCCCCGCAAGAGCCCUCACCCCAAAGCUCUAUCCUAAUGGGAAGUCCUUUGGGAGAACUGCCUUCAGUGAUACACCCAGAAAUGAAAGAAUUCAGAGGCGGGUACAGUACUUGGAGCAGCUGUGGCUGGACUGUCAUUGUUUGGAGAAACACACAUGGCUCCAGAGGUGUGCAGUACUGGCCUGAAAUAAAUGCAAAAGUCUGCUCUAAAGUUA